rnacentral:rRNA from 1 species
AGAGGGUGACCGGCCACACUGGGACUGAGACACGGCCCAGACUCCUACGGGAGGCAGCAGUGGGGAAUAUUGCACAAUGGGCGCAAGCCUGAUGCAGCAACGCCGCGUGAGGGACGACGGCCUUCGGGUUGUAAACCUCUUUUAGUAGGGAAGAAGCGAAAGUGACGGUACCUGCAGAAAAAGCACCGGCUAACUACGUGCCAGCAGCCGCGGUAAUACGUAGGGUGCAAGCGUUGUCCGGAAUUAUUGGGCGUAAAGAGCUCGUAGGCGGUCUGUCGCGUCUGCUGUGAAAACCCGAGGCUCAACCUCGGGCCUGCAGUGGGUACGGGCAGACUAGAGUGCGGUAGGGGAGAUUGGAAUUCCUGGUGUAGCGGUGGAAUGCGCAGAUAUCAGGAGGAACACCGAUGGCGAAGGCAGAUCUCUGGGCCGUAACUGACGCUGAGGAGCGAAAGCGUGGGGAGCGAACAGGAUUAGAUACCCUGGUAGUCCACGCCGUAAACGUUGGGCGCUAGAUGUGGGGACCAUUCCACGGUUUCCGUGUCGCAGCUAACGCAUUAAGCGCCCCGCCUGGGGAGUAC